rnacentral:rRNA from 1 species
UACGUAGGGUGCAAGCGUUGUCCGGAAUUAUUGGGCGUAAAGAGCUUGUAGGCGGUUUGUCGCGUCUGCUGUGAAAAUCCGGGGCUCAACCCCGGACUUGCAGUGGGUACGGGCAGGCUAGAGUGUGGUAGGGGAGACUGGAAUUCCUGGUGUAGCGGUGGAAUGCGCAGAUAUCAGGAGGAACGCCGGUGGCGAAAGCGAGCUGCUGGACCUUUUCUGACGCUGAGGCGCGAAAGCCAGGGGAGCAAACGGG